GCGCGGAUAGCUCAAUAGGAUAGAGUAGGGGAUUUCUAAUCCUCUGGUUGAGGGUUCGAAUCCCUCUCUGCGUGCCA
rnacentral:tRNA from 6 species